rnacentral:rRNA from 1 species
GAUGAACGCUGGCGGCGGGCCUAAUACAUGCAAGUCGAGCGAAGAGGGGGGGGGGGAGUAACACGUCGAUAACCUGCUAUAAGACUGGGGUAACUUCGGGAAACCGGAACCAAACCGGAAAAUUAUAGAUGGAGGGACGCGGCAUUAGGUAGUUGGUAAGGUAACGGCGUACCAAGGCAACGAUGCAUAGGCGACCUGAGAGGGUGACCGGCCACACUGGAACUGAGACACGGUCCAGACUCCUACGGGAGGCAGCAGUAGUGAAUCUUCCGCAAUGGGCGAAAGCCUGACGGAGCCACGCCGCGUGUGUGACGAAGGUCUUCGGAUCGUAAAUCUCUUUUAGUAGGGAAGCGGUACCCAAUGAGAAAGCCCCGGCUAACUACGUGCCAGCCGCCGCGGUAAUUC